UGUUGAUGACGUCAUUCCCAUGCAGGCGCGAACGCGCCGAAAGAUAACGGCUGGGACUAAGUAUAAAGUAUUAAAAAUGGAGACAUCAGCGUUCCGCUAUGUCCUACUUGAAUGGACUGAGGGUGAUGAUCGUGGGGCGCAUAGUAUUUUGGCGAUGGACUGUGUCCGGAACUUUUCAGUUCAAGAUUUUUUUGCCUCGACUGAACAAAACGAGAAGCUGGUGGAAUGACGAAAAGGCCGCCAACCCUGGCCGGUUCACCGAGCCAAAAUUGUUGACGUGGCAAAAUUUGAAAAACCUCUCCAAAUUAAACUGCGUGAGAUUGAGGUGGAGAAAGAGGGCACACAAACAAAACGUCCUCACAUCCCAAACUCAAAGUACAUUGAGCAGCAGGGGAAGACUGAGAAGGCUUCAAAAAAAAAGGUAACUGACUGCACCAAUUGGUGCUUUAGUUCAAGUUAUCUCCCCUCUCUUGUUUCUUAAUGUGUAGGCAUGUUUGUAGAUUUGUAAUUGUGUCAUCUUUGAUGAUUUAAUGUGCUUUGACAAGAUAUAUGUGCAAGCUGGUGUAACGCAAGUUAAUAAGAGUUGAGCUAAAAGUCAGUCUGUGUCUUUCUGUCGGUUGACAAUAAAAAGGGAGGGUCUUCCAAAUACAAGCACCAGGAGGGUGAGAAGCAGGAGGAGGGUCAUGACAGACUUUCAAAGAACAAGGUUGCCGUGAAAAAGAAAAAUCUUUCUAAAUACGAGGAGGAGGAGGAGGAGGAAGUGGAUGAUGAGGCACGUCAUGACACAAAGAACAAGCGGGCCAGAGAAGAGGAGGAGCAUAUUGGGGAUGAAGACGACAAAGUACCAGCCUCAAAGAAAAAGAGUGCUGCUGAAUUUAGAAAGCAACUGGACGAACAGAUGUGGGAGAGAAAAAAAAUUGAACAAAUGCAAAGAAAUUUGCAGGAGUUGCGAAAUGAAGUUCAGUCUCUCAAAAGUGAAAAUGCACAUCUGAAAGAUGUUCUGGAAUGGGAAGCAACCUGAAUGGUACAAAAACAUGUUGCUAAUCUCUUCUGUCCUUAAAAAAACAAAAAACAAGUCAGUCAUAUUCUGUGUAAUGAAUCAUGUUUGUGUGCGGGCAUACCAUCGCUUUUGUACUUGCCAUUUUUGUAUUUCCUUGCACCUCAAGAAAACGUAAUGUGUGUGUGUUACGACCCCCUGGAUGGUCUAGGGGUGCGGGGACCAUAAACAUAUAGGCAGAACCUGGUCGGGUGUAAAAGGGUAGUAUUUAUUGGCAACCAGAGGUAAACAGGCACGUAACAACAAACAAAAGGAGGGUGGAUGAGGGUGCUGUGAAAAGACAAACUAAGUAAAAUAAAAGAGAUCCCCAAAAGGAGAACUAUGCCUGAAUAUACGUUAAAACAAACAGUAGGCGCUUACCA